rfam:Parcubacteria bacterium GW2011_GWA2_38_13 TS74_C0010, whole genome shotgun sequence.
GACAUAUAUAAUUUAUUUCCACAGACAAUAGGCGUUUUUGUGCAAAAACCGCACAUGAACUUAAAUUUUUGCCUAUCGAGGAAGAUAUUGGGUUCUAGUAAUCAGUUUCUAGGUUCUAGAAUCAAAUAAAUAAUCUGUGGGAUUUCCACAGUUUUUUAUUUAUAGAA